GUGUCAGCCGCCGCGGUAAUACGUAGGGUGCAAGCGUUGUUCGGAAUUACUGGGCGUAAAGGGAGCGUAGGCGGGAUUGUAAGUUAGGAGUGUAAUUCGCGGGCUUAACCCGCGACUUGCUCUUAAUACUGCAGUUCUUGAGUAUGGGAGAGGGCGAUGGAAUUCCAGGUGUAGCGGUGGAAUGCGUAGAUAUCUGGAAGAACACCAGUAGCGAAGGCGGUCGCCUGGCCCAAUACUGACGCUGAGGCUCGAAAGCUAGGGGAGCAAACAGGAUUAGAUACCCUGGUAGUCCUAGCCGUAAACGAUGGACACUAGUUGCUGGGGGAGUCAAUCUUCUCGGUGACGAAGCUAACGCAUUAAGUGUCCCGCCUGGGGAGUACGCUCGCAAGGGUGAA
rnacentral:rRNA from 1 species